rnacentral:rRNA from 1 species
GACGAACGCUGGCGGCGUGCCUAAUACAUGCAAGUUGAGCGAUGACGCUUGGUGCUCGCACCAAUUUGAAGGGCAGCUAACGGGUGAGUAACGCGUGGGUCGUCUGCCUUUGUGUGGGGGACAACAUUUUGAAACGACUGCUAAUAAUACAUAACAACUUCAAACAUAAGUUUUAAGGUUGAAAGAUGCCUUGGCCUCACUCAAAGAUCAUCCCGCGUUGUAUUAGCUAGCUGGGGAGGUGAAGGCCCACCAAGGGGGAGGUACAUAGGCUACCUGAGAGGGUGAACGGCCAAAAUGGGAAUGGAACACCGCCCAAAACCCUACAGGAGGCAGCAGUAGGGAAACAUUGGCAAUGGACGAAAGUCUGACCGCGGAACGCCGCGGGGGUGGAGGAGGUUUUCGGAUCGGAAAACUCUGUUGGUAGAGAAGAAAAAUGGUGAGAGUAGAAAGCUCAUCAAGUGACGGUAACUACCCAGAAAGGGACGGCUAACUACGUG